rnacentral:rRNA from 1 species
AGUGAACGCUGGCGGUAGGCCUAACACAUGCAAGUCGAACGGCAGCACAGUAAGAGCUUGCUCUUACGGGUGGCGAGUGCCGGACGGGUGAGGAAUACAUCGGAAUCUACUUUUUCGUGGGGGAUAACGUAGGGAAACUUACGCUAAUACCGCAUACGACCUACGGGUGAAAGCAGGGGAUCUUCGGACCUUGCGCGAUUGAAUGAGCCGAUGUCGGAUUAGCUAGUUGGCGGGGUAAAGGCCCACCAAGGCGACGAUCCGUAGCUGGUCUGAGAGGAUGAUCAGCCACACUGGAACUGAGACACGAUCCAGACUCCUACGGGAGGCAGCAGUGGGGAAUAUUGGACAAUGGGCGCAAGCCUGAUCCAGCCAUACCGCGUGGGUGAAGAAGGCCUUCGGGUUGUAAAGCCCUUUUGUUGGGAAAGAAAAGCAGCAGGUUAAUACCCCGCUGUUCUGACGGUACCCAAAGAAUAAGCACCGGCUAACUUCGUG